rnacentral:snRNA from 1 species
AGGGAAAGUGCCUCAUCC